AGGCUCUCCGUGCUUCAUUUUCUCCUUCUCGGCCUCUUCGCUCGCUGGGUACACGGUCAAAACCUCUCGUUUCCUCUUUUCAUUCUUCUUAAUCGUCUGAUUGCUAAAGGUUGAGGAUGGGGUUUGGGGUUAACCUCUCUAUAAAGCGCCGAAGCCUUUUCUUUUCCCCCGACUUUCUCCUUCUCGCGACUUCGGACUUCACGCGACCGAGACCGGCGAUUUCUUCUUCUCUCGGUGGCGCCGGCGAAGAGCGGACCUUGGAGCGUUGAGAGGAAGAGAGGUGGUUCUUUCUGGGAAGCAGAGACUGGUAUUUUGGUCCCGGCCACCACAGCUCUGUUGGAUCGAUCUCUUCUUCGUAUCAGUGAUCGUCUCCGGUGAUUGAAGGGUGCAGAGAGGAUGCGAUGUGCUUAUUUUAGAUACUGGAUUGGGAAGUGCAGAGAAUCAAGCAAGGGUCAAGGAGUUGCUUCAUGUGGAGGAAUCAAAACUAGAGGAGGAUAAGGGAAAUACCACUCCAGCAGUGAGAUGGGUUCGAGAUGAUAAAUAUGAUUGCAUCCGAUUAAAGCAUUGCAAGGUUGUGACAAAAAUUGAUUGGCAUCGGAAAGGAGACUAUUUCACUACUGUCGUUCCUAGUGAUAUCCUAAUUAUGAAUUUUAGUUGUACUUAUUUUUAGUCAUUCCUAGUGCCUAUUUUAUAUCUCAGUUUUGUUUCUUUCUUUUUUCUAAUACACACUGACAAAUUGGAAAUAUAUAAAAAUCAUGACAUUAUACCUAGUUACCUAGCCUUUGAGGCUGGAAUCAGGAUGAAACCUAAAGUGCCCUGAAAAGUUUAGGCAUACCAAAUUCUCUCAGUUUAAUGACAGAGGUCAGUUGUGUUGCAAACUUUGUUGUUUUCCUUGUUUUUCAUUUACCGCGUCUAGAUUAAGAAACUAUGGCUUUCUAACUCAAAUAAAAAUUGCAAUUCCUGCCUAUCUUAGACCUAACAUUAACUUAUUAAUUGAACAGGUGUUUUAGAUUGUAAAUUUCAUCCGAGGCAGCCAUGGCUAUUCACAGCUGGAGCAGAUUCUAUCAUUAAACUAUAUUGCCACUAAUGAUAGAUUCUCCAGGAAACUUUGAAGAAUCUCCUCGAGUCAAGAUACGUUGUGAUUGGCACGGCAAGUGUUCUAAAAUGAAGCCAAAGAAAAUGGGGGAGAAAAUAAGGUUGUGACAAAAAUUGAUUGGCAUCGGAAAGGAGACUAUUUCACUACUGUCGUUCCUAGUGAUAUCCUAAUUAUGAAUUUUAGUUGUACUUAUUUUUAGUCAUUCCUAGUGCCUAUUUUAUUCCUAGUCACCUUAUUUCAAUGACAAGAACAAGGGUUCUCAUGGCCAAUAUGUGUCUAUUAAUGGGAUUUUCAAUGUCUUGCUUACCACGCUAAUCCUACUUCUGAUUGGAUUUGCAGCUUCAAGAUAUCAAACUCUACACCUUCUAUAUGGAGCUAGAUUUGCAAAAGCCAUAUCCAACUCGAGGAAGUGACUUAUUGACAUGGGAGAGAACUUAUUGGUAACCAAGGACUUUGUGAAGAUAGCAAAUUUUGGCCUUGCUCGUGAAGUUCAUUCGAAGCCACCAUUCACAGAAUAGGUUUCAACACGCUGUUUACAAAUCUCAAGUACUCCAGAGUUGAAAUUGAUGAAGUGCAGUUCGAGUGGGCUG